rnacentral:rRNA from 1 species
UACGGAGGGUGCAAGCGUUAUCCGGAUUCACUGGGUUUAAAGGGUGCGUAGGUGGGUUGGUAAGUCAGUGGUGAAAUCUCCGAGCUUAACUUGGAAACUGCCAUUGAUACUAUCAAUCUUGAAUAUUGUGGAGGUCAGCGGAAUAUGUCAUGUAGCGGUGAAAUGCUUAGAGAUGACAUAGAACACCAAUUGCGAAGGCAGCUGGCUACACGAAUAUUGACACUCAGGCACGAAAGCGUGGGGAUCAAACAGG